UGUGAGGUCUAUCCCGAUGGGGCUUUGCUGUAAGCUAAUAUCGUUGGAAACGCCUCAUAGAGUAACCACUUGUAGUUCUGAAUUACCUGCUAACUACCUUUUUAGUGGGGUCAAAUCUGCAUAACAUCC
rfam:Xenopus laevis strain J chromosome 2L, whole genome shotgun sequence.